GACGAACGCUGGCGGUAUGCCUAACACAUGCAAGUCGAACGAGAUUCUUUUUUUGUUUACAAAGAAAUGAUUGCAGUGGCGGACGGGUGAGGAACACGUAAGAACUUACCUUUUGGCGGGGGAUAACAACGGGAAACUGUUGCUAAUACCCCAUAACGCUGAGGAGCGAAAGGGAAACUGCCAAAAGAGAGGCUUGCGUCUGAUUAGCUAGUUGGUGGAGGUAAAUGCUCCCCAAGGCGACGAUCAGUAGCUGGUCUGAGAGGAUGAUCAGCCACACUGGGACUGAGACACGGCCCAGACUCCUACGGGAGGCAGCAGUGGGGAAUUUUGGACAAUGGACGCAAGUCUGAUCCAGCAAUGCCGCGUGCAGGACGAAAGGCCUUCGGGUUGUAAACUGCUUUUGUACAGAACGAAAAGGACUCUGGUUAAUACCUGGGGCUCAUGACGGUACUGUAAGAAUAAGCACCGGCUAACUACGUG
rnacentral:rRNA from 1 species